UACGAAGGGGGCGAGCGUUGUUCGGAAUCACUGGGCGUAAAGAGUGCGUAGGCGGCGAUAAAAGUUAGAAGUGAAAGCCCAGGGCUCAACCUUGGAAUUGCUUUUAAAACUAUAUUGCUCGAAUUCGGGAGAGGAUAGCGGAAUUGUCAGUGUAGCAGUGAAAUGCGUAGAUAUUGACAGGAACACCAGUGGCGUAAGCGGCUAUCUGGACCGACAUUGACGCUGAGGCACGAAAGCGUGGGGAUCAAACAGG
rnacentral:rRNA from 1 species